UACAGAGGUCUCAAGCGUUGUUCGGAUUCAUUGGGCGUAAAGGGUGCGUAGGCGGCGCCGUAAGUCGGGUGUGAAAUUUCGGAGCUUAACUCCGAAACUGCAUUCGAUACUGCGGUGCUUGAGGACUGGAGAGGAGACUGGAAUUCAUGGUGUAGCAGUGAAAUGCGUAGAGAUCAUGAGGAAGACCAGUGGCGAAGGCGGGUCUCUGGACAGGUCCUGACACUGAGGCACGAAAGCCAGGGGAGCAAACGGG
rnacentral:rRNA from 1 species